rnacentral:misc_RNA from 1 species
UUUCCCCACAUAUAUUCCUAAAGCAUUGUUGCCCUUCAAUAACUCCGUAGAAAGUACAGAUUGACCUCAAGACACCAGUUUGAAAUGAAUGACAAAAUAUUCAUAAACUUUUCUGAAAUUUGAUCUAAACCACCUGUGCAAAUGAAAUAUUCCCUUUACAAGUUCUUCCUGAAAACAUUGUUCAGCAAUGUAGCUUUCCAUGGUAAAUAGAACAAUAAAAUCUUGAACCCCCGGUUGGCAUAUUCAAAUUCAAGAACCUCAAUCGCCAGUUAUUAAUUUAUAUUUUGAAGCCCACCAUAUCAUCUUAUCAAUUCUCCGUUAUCUCACCACAAUCUUCAAUCACAACAGUUUGUGAAGUCCUUCCACUUUCUGAACCUAGCUUCUCCAUGUCCUUAACCACACUGUAGCCAUCAACAACUUUCCCAAAUACAACAUGCUUUCCAUCAAGCCAUGAUGUCUUCUCAGUGCAAAUAAAAAAUUGGGAACCAUUAGUAUUUGGGCCAGCAUUUGCCAUUGAAAGAAUACCAGGUCCAGUAUGCCUUAGCUUGAAGUUCUCAUCCGCAAACUUCAUGCCAUAGAUUGAUUCUCCUCCAGUCCCAUUUCCUCUUGUGAAAUCCCCACCCUGGCACAUGAAGCUUGGGAUGAUUCGGUGGAAAGUUGAGCCCUUGUAGUGUAGUGGCUUUCCAUAUCUUCCAAUCCCUUUCUCCCCAGUACAGAGGGCACGGAAAUUUUCAGCAGUUUUUGGGGUGACAUCCGCAAAAAGCUCCAUCACAAUUCGACCAGCUUUCAUCUUGCCAAUAAGAAUAUCAAAGAAAACCUUUGGAUUUGACAUUUUCAAUUACCCAAUUAAAAUCCUUUUAGGUCAAGCAGCAGCUGGAGACG